GACGGAGGAUGCAAGCGUUAUCCGGAAUGAUUGGGCGUAAAGCGUCCGCAGGUGGCAGUUCAAGUCUGCUGUCAAAGACCGGGGCUUAACUUCGGAAAGGCAGUGGAAACUGAACAGCUAGAGUAUGGUAGGGGCAGAGGGAAUUCCUGGUGUAGCGGUGAAAUGCGUAGAGAUCAGGAAGAACAUCGGUGGCGAAGGCAGCCCCCUGGGUUAACACUGACGCUCAGGCACGAAAGCGUGGGGAGCAAACAGG
rnacentral:rRNA from 1 species